CCGCGUGUGUGAAGAAGGCCUUCGGGUUGUAAAGCACUUUCAGUUGUGAGGAAAAGUUAGUAGUUAAUACCUGCUAGCCGUGACGUUAACAACAGAAGAAGCACCGGCUAACUCCGUGCCAGCAGCCGCGGUAAUACGGAGGGUGCGAGCGUUAAUCGGAAUUACUGGGCGUAAAGCGCACGCAGGCGGUUUGUUAAGCUAGAUGUGAAAGCCCCGGGCUCAACCUGGGAUGGUCAUUUAGAACUGGCAGACUAGAGUCUUGGAGAGGGGAGUGGAAUUCCAGGUGUAGCGGUGAAAUGCGUAGAUAUCUGGAGGAACAUCAGUGGCGAAGGCGACUCCCUGGCCAAAGACUGACGCUCAUGUGCGAAAGUGUGGGUAGCGAACAGGAUUAGAUACCCUGGUAGUCCACACCGUAAACGCUGUCUACUAGCUGUGUGUGCCUUUAAGGCGUGCGUAGCGAAGCUAACGCGCUAAGUAGACCGCCUGGGGAGUACGGCCGCAAGGUUAAAA
rnacentral:rRNA from 1 species